UCGAGGAUAUUUAGCAAUGGACGAAAGUCUGACUAUGCGACGCCGCGUGAGGGAUGAAGGUUUUCGGAUCGUAAACCUCUUUCGAUAGAGAAGAAAUCUCUGAUUAACAACCAGAGUUGACGGUAUCUAGAGAAGAAGCCACGGCCAACUCCGUGCCAGCAGCCGCGGUAAUACGGAGGUGGCAAGCGUUACUCGGAUUCAUUGGGUGUAAAGGGCAGGUAGGUGGUUUUGUAAGUCGGGAGUGAAAUCCCUCGGCUUAACCGAGGAACUGCUUUCGAAACUGCAAGACUUGAGGAUAGAAGAGGAGAGUGGAACUCCCGGUGUAAGGGUGAAAUCUGUAGAUAUCGGGAGGAACACCAGUGGCGAAGGCGACUCUCUGGUCUAUCUCUGACACUGAGCU
rnacentral:rRNA from 1 species